GAUGAACGCUGGCGGCGUGCCUAAUACAUGCAAGUCGAGCGAACGGACGAGAAGCUUGCUUCUCUGAUGUUAGCGGCGGACGGGUGAGUAACACGUGGAUAACCUACCUAUAAGACUGGGAUAACUUCGGGAAACCGGAGCUAAUACCGGAUAAUAUUUUGAACCGCAUGGUUCAAAAGUGAAAGACGGUCUUGCUGUCACUUAUAGAUGGAUCCGCGCUGCAUUAGCUAGUUGGUAAGGUAACGGCUUACCAAGGCAACGAUGCAUAGCCGACCUGAGAGGAUGAUCGGCCACACUGGAACUGAGACACGGUCCAGACUCCGACGGGAGGCAGCAGUAGGGAAUCUUCCGCAAUGGGCGAAAGCCUGACGGAGCAACGCCGCGUGAGUGAUGAAGGUCUUCGGAUCGUAAAACUCUGUUAUUAGGGAAGAACAUAUGUGUAAGUAACUGUGCACAUCUUGACGGUACCUAAUCAGAAAGCCACGGCUAACUACGUG
rnacentral:rRNA from 1 species